CCUUAACCCACUGAGCAAGGCCAGGGAUUGACCCCGAAACCUCAUGGUUCCCAGUCAGAUUCGUUAACCACUGAGCCAUGAUGGGAACUCCACUGUUAUAAUUUUUAUAAUUAACAUGGGGUGUUACUGGCCAGGGCUAAAUAGUCUAAUGGAUCAGAAUAAAGCACCCCAUACAACACAUGUAUAGGAACACUGACAUUUUGUAUUACAAAGCAUUAGAAAUAUGUUGGACUAGUCAAUAAAUGGUGCUGGGAAAAUUAGAAAUUUAUUUGAAACAAAAAAAUAAAGUGGAUUCUUCCUGUCUUAUACAGAAUUAAAUUCCAGGUGAAUUAAAAAUCUAUAUGUGAAAGAGCAAAAUUAUAAAUCUUUUAGAAGAAAAUGUAAGUGAAUCUAUUUAUGACUUCAGUGUAGGAGAAUAUUUCAAACACAAAAGCUCAACUCAUAAAGAUUGGUAAACUCACCUACUGUAAAAUCACAAAAACCUUUUAUUCAACAAAAGACAUGCUAAACAAAGUGGAAGAAGAUAUCACACACAGCAAGAAUAUAAUCUCUGGAGUUCCUGUUGUGGCUCAGUGGUAUGAACCCGACUAGUAUUCAUGAGGACUCAGGUUCGAUCCUUGGCCUCGUUCCGUGGGUCUAAGGAUCUGGUGUUGCUGUGAGCUAUAGUAUAGAUUGAAGAUGUGGCUAGGAUUUGGUGUGGCUGUGGCUGUGACCGGUGGCUACAGCUCCAAUUCUACCUCUAGCCUGGGAACUUCCCUGUGCCAAGGGUGCAGCUCUAAAAAGACAAACAAACAAACAAACAAAAAGGAAUAUAAUCUCUAUGCAUAAAUCUGGCAAGGGAUCAAUAUCUUGAACACAAAAAACUUCUUGAAAUCAGUACGAAAAAACAUACAACCUAGUUUUUUGUUUUUGUUUUUUUUUGUUUUUUAAAGAUUAGAAUAGGGCAUACUACCAAGAGGAAAUCUGAAUUGCCAAGAGAUAAAUGUUAAAGUGUUUAUCCCAAGAAAUGUGAAUUAAAUCAGAGAAAUACCAUUUCCUAGUCAUCACACUAGUACAAAUUUAGAAGUAUAAUAAUAUCAAAUAUUGGCUAGUAUAUAGAGAAAUGGGAAUUCUCAAACACUCCCCUCCACCAAAGGCAACACGUUUUUGUUAGCAAAGAGUCAGGGGUAAAAUCUGAGGUUCAUGGGACACUUCAGUAGCCCUAGAAUUCUACAAGAUAAUCCUUAUUUUUAGCUUAAGCUGGCUGGAAAGGAUUUCAUGUAGUUGCAGUAAAAAUGGUGUUAAAGCUAAGGUUACAUAUCAGUUUUUUGCUUGCAUUCGUGGAUUAACUAUUUUUGGAAAAUCAUAAUGAGUUUGAAUCAAUUGCAUUUGAUAAGAGUAAUGAAAAUGAUAUUGUCUGCUUGUUCCUUAAAUGUGAUUAUUUAUUCAUGCAUGCAUGCAUAUUCAUUAUUCAUAUUCCCUCAUCAGACCUGAGUGCUUCACUAUACUAGAGGCAAGGUUGUAGGAGUACAACCUCGUGGGAGACUUCAGAUUUAAUCUGAAACAAUUAGAAAAAUUAUUAUACAUAUUUUAAUAAGUUAGAUGCCUUAGCUUUAGGCUGUUAAGAAUUAAAAAACUCAAUUUGAAGUGGCUGAAAUGAUAGGGGAAACUGUUAUCACAUAGAUCCGGGAGUGAGAGGUCGGUAGGACUGGGUGCAGGAAGGUACAGCCAGGCUCUGCUUUGCAUCUUGGAAAUGUUCGUGGCUCUGCCUGCAUUGACUUUGUCUGCAGGCUUCUCUCCAAGUUCUGAGAUGGCAGUUCCUUCCUUGUGUUCCAUGAGAGAGAGAAAAUCUCUCUUCUAACCUGGGAAUAAAAUUCCUGCCCUUCAUUUGAUGACAUCACCUGAGGUUACAUGUACAUCUCUGGAACAUUAGCAGUAGCCAAGGGAAGAUCAUGCACUGAAUCAGUUAGUUACUGGGAUUACCAGGUUUGGUUAAGAACUGUGGUUCUUAAACUUUACUGGGAUUCAGAAUCACCUGGGGAGCCUCACCGCCAACAUUUCUAGUUUACAUACUACAUUGAAGCCAGGAUGCAAGAAUUUGCAUUGCUAACAAUUCCAGAUGAUUCUAAUGCUGUUUGUCUGGGGUCCACACUUUGAGAAUCACUGGCUUAGACAAAUCAUGGUCUAUCCAAGUUGCUAAAGAGGGGGGUCAGGUCCCCUGAGUCACAUGGGCUAUGUGUAUGAGGGGAUCAAACCUGCUGCCUCAUGGAUGCUAGUCAGAUUCGUUUCCACUGAGCCAUGACAGAAACUCCUAUGCCACAUUUUAGAUCCCACAUAUAAGUCAUAUCAUAUGGUAUUUGUCUUUCUCUUUAUGACUUCCUUCAUUUAGUAUGAGAAUCUCUAGUUGCCUCCAUAGAAACGUCUUCUCAUUAACUAUUUACUUUGAUCUACAGUUCUUACAAGGGCAGGUGAAAUGCUAGAUUCUUUCCUUUUUAAAAAAAACAGACUAGUUUUAAACUAAAUUUGUUGGCUAUCAUUGUUUUUCUGUUUGUUAUUGUUUUGAACUCAUGGUUUAGUGUAUUUGAUGUGUUUUAUGUUAUUUAACAUGUUUUCUUCCGCUUUAAUUAUUAUCCUUAAUGAUGCUCAUAUCAUUCCAGUGGGAGCCUUUUCAAGUUGCCUUCUGAGUCCUCUUGACCCAAUCCCAGUCAUCUUUGACAUCUUUGAUAGUUUUCUUGCUUACUUAUAAGACUUUUUGAACUAACAGGGAACUCCAUGGAGUCUUAAUUUGUAUUUAUUUUUUUAGUAGUUGUAUAUAGGAGCUUUUCAUGUAUUUAAUUGGGUGUGUUUUAAGUUUGCACCUGACCAAUACCUGGGCCAGACAGAUGGUGGGGUGUUAAAAGCACACCAAAUUAUAAACCAGGAGUACCGUUCUCCAAUCUUGCCAUUGGCAUGACUUAUAAGGAAGUCACCUAUCUUUCUGGAUCUUUAUUUCUUCAUUAUCAAAUGGGUGGGGUGCCUCUACAAUUUUUAAAUUUCAAUAUAAGAUGCAGAGCUCUUAAUUCCUGGCUCCCAUGUGCCCCAGAACUCAUGUAAAGAUGUUUAGCCAAUAAAAUCAAUUGAGUAAUUGUAUAACCAAGUUCAAUUUAAUUUUUGUGUCUGUGCAAGUUAUUUUACCAAAUUAAUUUGUAAAACGAAAAAAUUGUUAGAUCACAUCUUCUGGGUUUUUAAAUUAUUUAAAAAUAUGGUCACUGGACUGAUAGAGGCUGCAUUGAUUGACCCUUCUGCUCGCUCUUUCAGAAGCUGCAGCCAACUGGUAAAUAGCUUGUCCAACCUCCUGCUGNNNNNNNNNNNNNNNNNNNNNNNUGAAGCAUCUGCUGAGGUUUUGCCUAUUGCUGCAUUCACCCUCCCCCAACCCAGUCGCCCUCUGUUCUGGGGCUGCUCAUUAACUCAUUAGAAGCUGCAGCUGUGGGGGGGUUCUGCUAUCUGUAGCUCAGGGUCUCCCAAGCACCUGCUUCAGUAUCACCUGGAGACCUUGGGAAAAGACUGUGUCCUGCAACAUCCACCUACUCACACACCACACACAGUGCUUUUCUCCCGUAGCGUUUAUCAUGGCAUCAGGAAUCAAAACAUUCCUUGUGCAAAUCUUUGUGUAAUGCCUGCAUCCCACACCAGCUCCCCAGGGGUAGGCUGUGGUGGAUUUUGCUUACUUUCUUAUCCCUAGCACCCAGCUCAGGGUGUGGCACUUUGCAGGUAUCUGGUAUUUGCUGGGUGCUGAAUGCAUGGGUGUUUGAGUGACCAAAUGAAUCAGUUUGAUGGAGAGCCACCUAGACACACAGACUUUCCCCUUGAUGUACAAAUUGUCUGUAUAAAAUGAAAGAGGAUUCCCCCCUGCCCCAAAUUGGGGCUGACUGGUAGGUCUAGGUGUCAGUAUAAAUUUGUAAAUGUAUGUGUAUACAAAGGAGGAGCUUCUGAGGAGGAUGCUGGCCAGUUCCUGGUCCUCUGGGGCUGCAUGUUAUUAAAGGGGGAAAGCACUGGACUAUAGAUGGAAGAUGCAGAGUCUAAUGCCACUCAUGGUGACCCGGGUGAGUGUGAGCACAUCAUGUCUUCGUCUGUAGAAUAGUGGCCUCUGGAGGGAUCCUUCUAGGGCUGUGAUCCUCAUCAGUAGAGUGUUGUCUCAUGGAAUCAGAGCCAAGAUGCUGGCAGGCUGUCCUCUCAGCCCACUGAUGAUAUACAUGAUAUUUAUUCAUUAGAAAUAUCUCCCCCUAAACCAAACUCUUCCUUAGCUUUCAAACCAAAUGCUGCAUCUCUUUCCUGGCACAUCAUUGUUGCCUUUGGGAAUUUUGCUUCCCAUGUUUACCGCUCUCAUUUCAGUCUCCUUGUAGCAGCUUUAAAUGACUGACUCCCAACUGCAGUGCCAGGCACUGUUCCAAGCACUUGACACAUAUCAACUCAUUUCACAAAGAUAAAGUUCAAUCCCACUUACGUUCUGCACAUGUCAUGUGCUUGUAUUUACAGGCAGAUCUGUGGCAUGUCAAUUUCAUAUGUCGUCGGCUGAUCGACUUCAGUGUGACUGGAUUUCACAUUAAGGCAGCAUGUUAUGAAAAGCACUUGCAUACUUAGGUGGAAGUGGAAGACAUACUGUAGGGUCAGCCCUAAAGUCAGUUAUGAUGUGUCAGGAAAUUAACCUUCCAGAAAUGUUUGACAAUAAUACAAGAUAGUGUAAAAAGUGCUAAAUCCAUGGAAUAUUUUAUAAGUCCUUGAAGCAGUCAGAGGGGGAGAGUUGUAACCCUCUUGCUUGCUUGAUGGAUGUCUCUGCAUCUUUGUGGUGUCUUUACUUUCCGUGGGGUCCUGUGACACAGCAAGACUAGGCAAGCCAGGUGAGGUGCCCUCAAGAGGGUAUUUUUUGAAGAAUACAUUUCCACAGCAUCUCCUCCCCUCCCUACUACACACUCCCUGCUGAAUUUUUGCCACUUAAAAAAAAAUGAAACAUGGGGAGUUCCUGUUGUGGCUCAGUAGUUAACGAACCCCACUGGCAUCCAUGAGGACAUGGGUUCAAUCCCUGGCUUCUAUCAGUGGGUUAAAGACCCGGUGUUGCUGUGAGCUGUGGUGUAGGCAGGCAACUACAGCUCUGAUUGGACCCCUAGCCCAGGAACCUCCAUAUGCCACAGGCGUGGCCCUAAAAAAAGACCAAAAAAAAAAAAAAAAAAAA
ensembl:lncRNA